rnacentral:lncRNA from 1 species
CCAGGCAUCGUCAAAGUUCCUUUCUAAUGGAAAUUAGGAGAGGAGAUUGAAGCCAAAGGCUACAUGAUUCACUAAACAUAAAGUAAAGCCUCAAAGAGAAACCUGUGGGUUUAGGUUCUUUAAACUACAUCAAACCAGAACCUAGAAACCUUCAAAUCCACUCCUAAGUUUAAGAAACAGGCGAGCAAUUUGACCUCUUCAUAGUAAUAUUUUUUAAAGUAAGA